rnacentral:lncRNA from 1 species
GCGCUGAGUGCGUGCCGCUCCGCCGACCGAAGAGGCUGGACAUGACACCAGUGGCAUAUCACGGCCAUGGGGUCUCAGCAUUCCGCUGCUGCUCGCCCCUCCUCCUGCAGGCGAAAGCAAGAAGAUGACAGGGACGGUUUGCUGGCUGAACGAGAGCAGGAAGAAGCCAUUGCUCAGUUCCCAUAUGUGGAAUUCACCGGGAGAGAUAGCAUCACCUGUCUCACGUGCCAGGGGACAGGCUACAUUCCAACAGAACUUCAGUGAAGAUUUCAUACAUUGGCCUCAUGACCCAGAGCUCCUUGGAGACACAUCACUAUGUGG